AUGUGGAGCCGUAGCGAAAGCGAGUCUGAAUAGGGCGAAUGAGUAUUUGGUCGUAGACCCGAAACCAGGUGAUCUACCCUUGGUCAGGUUGAAGUUCAGGUAACACUGAAUGGAGGACCGAACCGACUUACGUUGAAAAGUGAGCGGAUGAACUGAGGGUAGCGGAGAAAUUCCAAUCGAACUUGGAGAUAGCUGGUUCUCUCCGAAAUAGCUUUAGGGCUAGCCUCAAGUGAUGAUUAUUGGAGGUAGAGCACUGUUUGGACGAGGGGCCCCUCUCGGGUUACCGAAUUCAGACAAACUCCGAAUGCCAAAUAAUUUAACUUGGGAGUCAGAAUGUGGGUGAUAAGGUCCAUAUUCGAAAGGGAAACAGCCCAGACCACCAGCUAAGGUCCCAAAAUAUAUGUUAAGUGGAAAAGGAUGUGGCGUUGCCCAGACAACUAGGAUGUUGGCUUAGAAGCAGCCAUCAUUUAAAGAGUGCGUAAUAGCUCACUAGUCGAGUGACACUGCGCCGAAAAUGUACCGGGGCUAAACAUAUUACCGAAGCUGUGGAUUGUCCUUUGGACAAUGGUAGGAGAGCGUUCUAAGGGCGUUGAAGCAUGAUCGCAAGGACAUGUGGAGCGCUUAGAAGUGAGAAUGCCGGUGUGAGUAGCGAAAGACGGGUGAGAAUCCCGUCCACCGAUUGACUAAGGUUUCCAGAGGAAGGCUCGUCCGCUCUGGGUUAGUCGGGUCCUAAGCUGAGGCCGACAGGCGUAGGCGAUGGAUAACAGGUUGAUAUUCCUGUACCACCAUUAUUCGUUUUAAGCGAUGGGGGGACGCAGUAGGAUAGGCGAAGCGUGCUGUUGGAGUGCACGUCCAAGCAGUGAGAUUGAG
rnacentral:rRNA from 1 species